CCUACGGGGGGCUGCAGUGGGGGAUAUUGCACAAUGGGGGGAACCCUGAUGCAGCGACGCCGCGUGGGUGAAGGAGCGUUUCGGCGCGUAAAGCCCUAUCGGCAGGGAAGAAGGAGGACGGUACCUGACUAAGAAGCCCCGGCUAACUACGUGCCAGCAGCCGCGGUAAUACGUAGGGGGCAAGCGUUAUCCGGAUUUACUGGGUGGAAAGGGAGCGUACACGGCUAAUCAAGUCAGAAGUGAAAACCCAGGGCUCAACCUUGGGACUGCUUUUGAAACUGAGUAGCUAGAGUGCAGGAGAGGUAAGCGGAAUUCCUAGUGUAGCGGUGAAAUGCGUAGAUAUUAGGAGGAACACCAGUGGCGAAGGCGGCUUACUGGACUGUAACUGACGUUGAGGCUCGAAAGCGUGGGGAGCAAACAGGAUUAGAUACCCGAGUAGUC
rnacentral:rRNA from 1 species